AGCGAACGCUGGCGGCAGGCCUAACACAUGCAAGUCGAACGAACCCUUCGGGGUUAGUGGCGGACGGGUGAGUAACACGUGGGAACGUGCCUUUAGGUUCGGAAUAACUCAGGGAAACUUGUGCUAAUACCGAAUGUGCCCUUCGGGGGAAAGAUUUAUUGCCUUUAGAGCGGCCCGCGUCUGAUUAGCUAGUUGGUGAGGUAAUGGCUCACCAAGGCUACGAUCAGUAGCUGGUCUGAGAGGAUGACCAGCCACAUUGGGACUGAGACACGGCCCAAACUCCUACGGGAGGCAGCAGUGGGGAAUCCUGCGCAAUGGGCGAAAGCCUGACGCAGCCAUGCCGCGUGGAUGAUGAAGGUCUUAGGAUUGUAAAAUCCUUUCACCGGUGAAGAUAAUGACUGUAGCCGGAGAAGAAGCCCCGGCUAACUUCGUGCCAGCCGCCGCGGUAAAAC
rnacentral:rRNA from 1 species